rnacentral:rRNA from 1 species
CAGUCGCCGCGGUAAUACGAAGGGGGCUAGCGUUGUUCGGAAUCACUGGGCGUAAAGCGCACGUAGGCGGAUUUUUAAGUCAGGGGUGAAAUCCCGGGGCUCAACCCCGGAACUGCCUUUGAUACUGGGAGUCUUGAGUUCGAGAGAGGUGAGUGGAAUUGCGAGUGUAGAGGUGAAAUUCGUAGAUAUUCGCAGGAACACCAGUGGCGAAGGCGGCUCACUGGCUCGAUACUGACGCUGAGGUGCGAAAGCGUGGGGAGCAAACGGGAUUAGAUACCCCCGUAGUCCCUGUCUCUUAUAA